GCGGCGGGCGGCGGCGCUGCGUAGUCCGGCGCCCGGAGGGGGCGCUGCUCCGGAAUGAGGGCGGAGAGGGAGAGCGUUGCUUAAUGCCGGGCCGGGGGAGGGGUGGGACCCCGGCGCGGCGGGUCGGGUCACCCCGGGGACGCGGCUCUGCCCUCGGGCCACACCUCCGAGACCCGGGGCAUGGCCGUGGUCCUUACAAGUUGCAGGCUGCCGGAACGCCCACUGGCCAGUCUUCGCGCCCGCGCAGCCCCCUUCCAGAUGCGCCAGUCUCCUCGCUGCCCUCCAAACACUCACUUUUCUUUAUUAUCGUGAGUGAUCUUGGAUGUACAGUAUUCGUCAAUGAAUGAAUGUGUUGAAAUGUGCGAUGCGGGAACUGCGCAGCGCCUCGGGUUUGGCUUUCUCCAGCAUCUUACUGUAUUGAUCACCCCCUCCACUGAGCAGCACAGCCCUGAGGACAGAGGCCCCAAAAGCAUUUUCAACACAACAAUAUUUAUUCAUAUUUACACCUUGAGACCCCCAAGGCAUUGCUCCUCAUCCCUAACCCCUACCCCUAGGCCCUACCUUCCCGUUCAGCCACCCUCUUUCUCCCCUUCUUCCCGCACCCUCUUUCUCCCCUCCCUCUCCCACCCUCCAAAGCUGGGGUACAGCAAGAUCAGCAGUGGGGGAGAAGUCUUUGCUUUGGGUUGCCUGGUGCUGUGAGGGUCCAAGAGUUGAGAGCUCCACCCUUGGGCACUGGCACCAGAGAUCCUGCCCUGUGGCCCCUACUUUCUAUGAUGCCGCUUUUUCUUCCUCUUAGAGACCAAGGGGUCACCCUUUCUUUUUUGAGACUGUGAGGGGCCACCCAGCCCCCAAGCCAGGGAUUGCGCCCCACAGACUCUGAGCCCAGGCCCUAGGUGGGGCGUCUGUUCAGCAGGGGAUGGGCCUCCGAAGAGAGCUCGCUUCCUGGACUUGGUGGCAGGAGCAGGUGCUGGGCUGAGGCCUCUUCUCUUUGCAGAUUGGGACUGAAGAGCUCCCUGGGGUCCCCACCCUUCUGGGCUGAGAAGGGCUGAGGCAGGGACAGGGCUCUGGGACAGCUUCCAGGGCCGCAGCCUGUAGUUGGUACCCACGACAGAAACCAUACCAGGGAUUUCCCUCUCCUCCUCACUUGACCCCUUAGACAGCCUGUGUGACUCCUUGACAGGAGAGGCUCCAGGGAGACCCCAGGUGUCUUUGGUCCCCAUGCCUGGGCAGUUGGGUCUGUGGUCCUGGUGAAGAGAGUAUGGCCGGGCAGCCCUCAGCCAGCGGGAAUCCAGCCUCUCCAAAAGCACAACAGGGGUUUUGGACCUGGCCACCCCAGUGCACACUCUGCCUCUUCCCUGAGGGUCCCGGGAGGCCGUCUGGGGGGUGGGUCUGUGGUCCUGGGGAGGAGAAUAUGGCCGGGCAGCCCUCAGCCUGCGGGAAUCCAGCCUCUCCAAAAGCACAACAGGGUUUUUGGACCUGGCCAUGCCAGUGCAUGCUCUGCCUCGUCCCUGAGGGUCCUGGGCAACCGUCUGGGGUGGGCAGGUUUCCAUGCUGACCCCUUGUUGGGGGCCAGGGACAUCUCUCUCUGUUCCUUGGCCCGCUGCAGACUUAGAAGAGAUUGAGUCCAACCGGGCGGUGCCAUGACUAGGGGCUGCCCUCGCACACCGUUCCUCCAAGGAUAGGCGGCGCUUCUCCACUACCUGCGGGAGGAAAGGGGGCACUUACUGGCGCUGCCCCAAGUGUGAGCAGGGCCCAGGGUGGCAGAGACCAGGGCACUUGGGCAGCAGGCAGGGAAGCCUGAGGCAGCUGGGCUUCCUGUCAAAGAGAGGGUGUGGCUCUGCCGGGCAUCCCGCUGGGCCUCACUGCAGUUUGCAUCCUGAUUCUCCUCCCUGGCUCCUCUCCAUCCUGCUCCAUCUGAACCUGCACCUCCCCACCUCGGAGUGGCUCCCCAAGAAGCUGAGCAUCCCCCACAGGGUGGGGUAGACAAUCAGUUGGGGCUUGUGUGCCGGGUUCCUCCUGCCCCCGGGGUACCUGGGUUCCCUACCCUCCCUGCUCUACCUGGGCAAGGGUGAGUCCUUCCUCCUGAUCCAGUUCCUGGCUUAGGGCCAAGAAAUCCAUGUGUGGAUCUGGGGAAAGCAAUUCUUCCAGAAAUCGGGGGUGGAUGACGGCCUCCACCUGGAAACAGAAGGAAGACAGCGUGAGGUUCCCAGGCAGAGAGUAACCUGGAGCCAAGGACACCUAGAGGAGAUGCAGAAAGCAGCAAGUGCUCCGUCCCCACCCUUCUGGAGCUGUCUUAUACCAUGGCGACCACCAGCUCCACACACAAACCUGGUAGCAUCCAUACAUGCAGACAGAGACACACAAACCACACACACUCACAUAUGACACAGGAGAAUACACAGACACAGUAAUAUGCACACGCCACACUCAGCCACACAGACACAUAGUAACAAAUCACAGAGACAAACACACAGACACACAGUCACAUACACAGACACUCAAAUCCACGGAAACACAUGAAACCACCCCCUUUGGAGUAGCUAAGGAACAGAGCUUAAUUCCAGGGACCUGCGAGUGUCACCCCCUGGAAUUCUGCAGACCCCAGCACUUCAGGCCAGCCCACCUUGGUGACGAAGUCUUCCUGGGAACACAGAUUGUCAGCGUAGCUCAGGACGCCUGGGUCUAGAAGCAUCCCGUCUCCUUCCUGGUCCACUUCGCCCUCUUCCCAUUUUGCCUUUAGCUCCCCUGUGGCCCCAAUGGGAGGACCCAGCAGGUCCUCCAUGAUGUCCACAUACUCCUGCACCACUUCAGGGGGUAUCUCCUCGGGGGCCUUGGUCUCCGCUGGUUGCUGGGGCCUGGGUGGUGGCAGGCAGGCAGGCGGGGCCUUGGGGCAGGCCUUGCUGGGAAGGUACACUGAGGUAGGGAGGGAGGAGGACAGACGUGGUGAGGGCUGCUCCUCCUGCCUGCACCACACAGGGGAGGGCAGGGCUCGGGGACGUGAAGUGGGUCCCAGGACCACCUGAACCACAGCACCCCAGAGGAGACGCCGCAGGGGGGCACAUGUGAGAUAACAUCAUUUUGGAGGAAGUUUCGAGUCACUGAUCUGCUGAGUACUCUGCCCACUCAUCCCUGUUUCUGGGCAGAUUGUUGAGUUUUGGAAUGGCGAGGGGAGGGAGUAGGUAGGAAAUGUGACCAGGUGAAUACCCACUUCAUGACCACGGGACACCCAGCCCCCCGGCUCCCCUGAGCUGUCUUGUUGGAAGGAACAAAUCCCUCUCUUGAAGGGAGGCAUGGGGUGUGGGGACAGUGGCCUCCCUUGGCCCCUCUGGCCUUUGCCGUGGCUCCUGUGGGAAUGUGGGAAGCGUACCUGGCAGCUUCACCACCUCAGGGGCUGAUGGUCUUCGAGGCUCAAGCCUCGGCAGGGCUGGAGGAGGCAGGCACUGGGGCCCCUUCAUCCACUGCGACUUCUGAAUCUGCAUCUUCUCCUCAGCCUCAAACUCCAGAAACCUGGGGUGAAGAAGGUGCAGGCCGUGCUGAGAGGGUCUAGACCCCCUGCCCCCAGGAUCAGGCAGCAGCCGAUGGCAGCGAUGGGAAGGAGUGCCUCGGGCAGGUUGUCCAGGCCCUCCCUGGGGCCGGUCCCCCAGUCCCAGAGGGAGCUGCUCCCAGAGUUCUGGGCUCUCCGUCCCUCACCCGGCCCCUGCAGAGCCAUGGCAUCAACAGGGCUUCCUGACUCAAAUCAGGGCCACGAGGCCCAGGAGGGCACCAGGGGGACCCCUCCUCCAGGCUUCAGGUGGCCAGUGGUGGGGUUUAUGGCAGAAGGUGUCAGGGAUGUUGCCCAGAUGCCGGAGUCCUGAGGUUGGGACUGUGGGUCCCUAUAGGAUAACUCAGGAGCACCAGGCGUGGGAGAUCCCUGGUCAGGAGGAAGCAAAAGCUGGGCCCAAAAACAGGGCCCGUUUCCCCUGAGGCUGCUGGUCUGUCUUAACAGAGGGGACUGCCCAGGAGCAAAGGCAGGCAGGCCAGAGAUGGGUCUCAUGGUGUCCUGGACGCAGGUCUCCCCUGACCCACCACAGGUUUCUCCAAUCCUGGCCAGGCCGGGAUGGG